AGGGCAGAGCCCAAGGCCAGGAUAAAAGGGCCCUGGGGCCAGAGCACCUCCAUACACUCCUCUCCUGAGGUGCUGAAGACUCUCUGCUGCGUGUGCACUGCUCCUGAACCCACCCACCGAGAUGUCCUGCCAGCAGAACCAGCAACAGUGUCAGCCUCCUCCCAAGUGUGCCCCCAAGUGCCCCACUCCUAAAUGCCCCCCAAAGUGCCCCCCAGUCUCCUCCUGCUGUGGCCCCAGCUCCGGGUCUGGGGGCUGCUGCAGCUCCAGCUCCGGGGGCUGCUGCAGCUCUGGGUCUGGGGGCUGCUGCCUGAGCCACCACAGGCGCCGCAGGUCCCACCACUGCAGACCCCAGAGGUCUGACUGCUGCAGCCAGCCCUCAGGGGGCUCCGGGUGCUGUGGAGCGGGGAGUGGUCAGUCCUCUGGAGGCGGCUGCUGCUGAAGUGGACCCUGAGCCAAGAAGAGCUGAAUUAGAGGCAUGAAAAGGACAAGGCCAUCUUCCUUCGGCCUGACUGCUGAGACGUAUCAGUGAAGAUUUCAAAUUUUGUCCUAGAAGUUUCUUCUGACCUGGAAUCCAGAAAUCUGUGUUCUUUGCUAAAAACUCAUCUGCCGAUCCCUGAUCCCAUCUCUUCAAGCUGCCUUGGGAACCCCAGAGAAUAAUUCUUAUGCCACCGGUAGUUCCCUACCUGAAAUGAAACAAUAAAACAAAUCAUCCUGAAAUGAAACAAUAAAACAAAUCAUCCGUUUAC